rnacentral:lncRNA from 1 species
ACCCAGCAGUGGAUCAUUUGGUCAGUGGUUUGUAAAGGUACAACAUGGACAUUUGACCAUUUCCAUAUUAUCCAUAUCCUCCCAUUUGGUGCACAAGCAUAGUUAUUUGCAAUGUUCCAGUCAUCUCCAAGUUUCUUGUAUAUUGUCUGUGAUUGUGGUUGUUUUACUCUAGUUUCUAGACAAGCUACCAUAUCAACUUUGUUGGACCUCAAG